rnacentral:rRNA from 1 species
CCUGGCCUUGACAUACUAAGAACUUUCCAGAGAUGGAUUGGUGCCUUCGGGAACUUAGAUACAGGUGCUGCAUGGCUGUCGUCAGCUCGUGUCGUGAGAUGUUGGGUUAAGUCCGCAACGAGCGCAACCCUUUCCUAUUUGCCAGCGGGUAAUGCCGGGAACUUUAAGGAUACUGCCAGUGACAAACUGGAGGAAGGCGGGGACGACGUCAAGUCAUCAUGGCCCUUACGGCCAGGGCUACACACGUGCUACAAUGGUCGGUACAAAGGGUUGCUACCUCGCGAGAGGAUGCUAAUCUCAAAAAGCCGAUCGUAGUCCGGAUCGCAGUCUGCAACUCGACUGCGUGAAGUCGGAAUCGCUAGUAAUCGCGGAUCAGAAUGCCGCGGUGAAUACGUUCCCGGGCCUUGUACACACCGCCCGUCACACCAUGGGAGUUUGUUGCACCAGAAGUAGGUAGUCUAACCGCAAGGAGGACGCUUACCACGGUGUGGCCGAUGACUGGGGUGAAGUCGUAACAAGGUAGGCGUAGAUGA